rnacentral:rRNA from 1 species
UACGAAGGGGGCGAGCGUUGUUCGGAAUCACUGGGCUUAAAGAGUACGUAGGCGGCCAUCCAAGUCAGGAGUGAAAUCCCGGGGCUCAACCCCGGAAUUGCUUUUGAAACUGGACGGCUAGUGUCCCGGAGAGGUUGGCGGAAUUCCGAGUGUAGAGGUGAAAUUCGCAGAUAUUCGGAGGAACACCAGUGGCGAAGGCGGCCAACUGGACGGGUACAGACGCUGAGGUACGAAAGCGUGGGGAUCAAACAGG